rnacentral:rRNA from 1 species
UACGGAGGGUGCAAGCGUUAAUCGGAAUUACUGGGCGUAAAGCGUGCGUAGGCGGUUCGUUAAGUCUGUUGUGAAAGCCCCGGGCUCAACCUGGGAAUGGCAAUGGAUACUGGCGAGCUAGAGUGUGUCAGAGGAUGAUGGAAUUCCCGGUGUAGCGGUGAAAUGCGUAGAGAUCGGGAGGAACAUCAGUGGCGAAGGCGGCCAUCUGGGACAACACUGACGCUGAGGCACGAAAGCGUGGGGAGCAAACAGG